UACGGGGGGAGCAAACGUUGUUCGGAAUCACUGGGCGUAAAGGGCGUGUAGGCGGCUGAAUGAGUGGGAUGUUAAAUCCCCCGGCUCAACCGGGGAACUGCAUCUCAUACUGUUCAGCUUGGGUACAGCAGAGGAGACUGGAAUUCCCGGUGUAGCGGUGAAAUGCGUAGAUAUCAGGAGGAACACCGGUGGCGAAGGCGGCUUUCUGGACAGAUACCGACGCUGAGGCACGAAAGCUAGGGGAGCAAACAGG
rnacentral:rRNA from 1 species